GGAUAUGUUAUUUGUAAUUUGGACUGUAUGUUACCCUAAUAGCACAAUCCAAACAAAGUGUACUUUGGUGAAGUGGAGAUCGGAAUUCCAAAAGGGUUCCUGGCUUACAGUGAAACAGGACGUAGAGAGGGUAGAGUGGUGUACGCCAACUAUGGUGAGCUUUCUGACCUGCAGAAUAAAGAAUACAAACUGAAUCUAAAUGGAUCUGUUGUACUGAUGAGAGCUGGAAAAAUCAGCGUGGCUCAGAAGGUUAUGAAUGCAGCUAAAAUGGGUGCCGUAGCAGCUCUGAUCUACCCAGACCCAGCUGACUAUAAAACUAUGUCUUUGGAUGCUGAACUUUAUGGACAUGUAAGUUACGCC